CUGAUGCAGCGACGCCGCGUGAGGGAUGACGGCCUUCGGGUUGUAAACCUCUUUCAGUAUCGACGAAGCGCAAGUGACGGUAGGUACAGAAGAAGGACCGGCCAACUACGUGCCAGCAGCCGCGGUAAUACGUAGGGUCCGAGCGUUGUCCGGAAUUACUGGGCGUAAAGAGCUCGUAGGUGGUUUGUCGCGUUGUUCGUGAAAACUCACAGCUCAACUGUGGGCGUGCGGGCGAUACGGGCAGACUAGAGUACUGCAGGGGAGACUGGAAUUCCUGGUGUAGCGGUGGAAUGCGCAGAUAUCAGGAGGAACACCGGUGGCGAAGGCGGGUCUCUGGGCAGUAACUGACGCUGAGGAGCGAAAGCGUGGGGAGCGAACAGGAUUAGAUACCCUGGUAGUCCACGCCGUAAACGGUGGGUACUAGGUGUGGGUUUCCUUCCUUGGGAUCCGUGCCGUAGCUAACGCAUUAAGUACCCCGCCUGGGGAGUACGGCCGCAAGGCUAAAACUCAAAGAAAUUGACGGGGGCCCGCACAAGCGGCGGAGCAUGUGGAUUAAUUCGAUGCAACGCGAAGAACCUUACCUGGGUUUGACAUGCACAGGACGUGCCUAGAGAUAGGUAUUCCCUUGUG
rnacentral:rRNA from 1 species